CACGCAGGCGGUUUGGCAAGUCGGAUGUGAAAACCCGAAGCUCAACUUCGGGCCUGCAUCCGAAACUGCCCGACUAGAGGUAGGUAGGGGAGAUCGGAAUUCCUGGUGUAGCGGUGAAAUGCGCAGAUAUCAGGAGGAACACCGGUGGCGAAGGCGGAUCUCUGGGCCUUACCUGACGCUCAGGUGCGAAAGUGGGAGGGACGGAACAC
rnacentral:rRNA from 1 species